rnacentral:rRNA from 1 species
GACGGGGGGCAAGUGUUCUUCGGAAUGACUGGGCGUAAAGGGCACGUAGGCGGUGAAUCGGGUUGAAAGUGAAAGUCGCCAAAAACUGGCGGAAUGCUCUCGAAACCAAUUAACUUGAGUGAGACAGAGGAGAGUGGAAUUUCAUGUGUAGGGGUGAAAUCCGGAGAUCUACGAAGGAACGCCAAAAGUGAAGGCAGCUCUCUGGGUCCCUACCGACGCUGGGGUGUGAAAGCAUGGGGAGCGAACAGG